UACAGGGGGGGCAAGCGUUGUUCGGAAUUACUGGGCGUAAAGGGCCAGUAGGCGGCCAACUAAGUCACACGUGAAAUCCCCAGGCUUAACCUGGGAACUGCGUGUGAUACUGGAUGGCUUGAAUUCGGGAGAGGGAUGCAGAAUUCCAGGUGUAGCGGUGAAAUGCGUAGAUAUCUGGAGGAAUACCGGUGGCGAAGGCGGCAUCCUGGACCGAGAUUGACGCUGAACGGCGAAAGCUAGGGGAGCAAACGGG
rnacentral:rRNA from 1 species